UACGUAGGCAGCAAGCGUUGUUCGGAAUCACUGGGCGUAAAGGGCGCGUAGGUGGUGGCUUAAGCGUGCGGUGAAAGCUCGGGGCUCAACCCCGAGUCGGCCGUGCGAACUGGGCUCACUGGAGCAUAGUAGAGGCAGGUGGAAUUCCGGGUGUAGCGGUGGAAUGCGUAGAGAUCCGGAGGAACACCAAAGGCGAAGGCAGUGUCCUGGGGAGUACCUGACGCUCAGGUGCGAAAGCCAGGGGAGCGAACGGG
rnacentral:rRNA from 1 species